CGGCUGUAGCUAAAUCGAAACAGGCAGAGAAGUUAACUGGCCGGUUGUUGUUUGAGAUUUCAAUGAAGUCUCUGCCGUCAACAUAUCUGCUUACCGAACUUCUUACAUUU